rnacentral:rRNA from 1 species
GAUGAACGCUAGCGGCAGGCUUAAUACAUGCAAGUCGAGGGGUAGCAAGAUUGUAGCAAUACAAUUGUUGACGACCGGCAAACGGGUGCGGAACACGUACACAACCUUCCUACAAGUGGGGAAUAGCCCAGAGAAAUUUGGAUUAAUACCCCGUAACAUAGCGAUGUGGCAUCACAUUGCUAUUAUAGCUUCGGCGCUUGUUGAUGGGUGUGCGGCUGAUUAGAUAGUUGGCGGGGUAACGGCCCACCAAGUCUACGAUCAGUAGCUGAUGUGAGAGCAUGAUCAGCCACACGGGAACUGAGACACGGGCCCGACUCCUACGGGAGGCAGCAGUAAGGAAUAUUGGACAAUGGACGCAAGUCUGAUCCAGCCAUGCCGCGUGAAGGAUUAAGGUCCUCUGGAUUGUAAACUUCUUUUAUAAGGGACGAAAAAAGGUCUUUCUAGAUCGUCUGACGGUACCUUAUGGAUAGGCACCGGCUAACUCCGUGCCAGCCGCCGCGGUAAGAC